rnacentral:rRNA from 1 species
GACGAACGCUGGCGGCGUGCUUAACACAUGCAAGUCGAACGGAAAGGCCCUUUCGGGGGUACUCGAGUGGCGAACGGGUGAGUAACACGUGGGUGAUCUGCCCUGCACUUUGGGAUAAGCCUGGGAAACUGGGUCUAAUACCGAAUACACCCUGCUGGUCGCAUGGCCUGGUGGGGGAAAGCUUUUGCGGUGUGGGAUGGGCCCGCGGCCUAUCAGCUUGUUGGUGGGGUGAUGGCCUACCAAGGCGACGACGGUAGCCGGCCUGAGAGGGUGUCCGGCCACACUGGGACUGAGAUACGGCCCAGACUCCUACAGGAGGCAGCAGUGGGGAAUAUUGCACAAUGGGCGCAAGCCUGAUGCAGCGACGCGCGUGGGGAUGAC